rnacentral:rRNA from 1 species
GGGACGAACGCUGGCGGCGUGCUUAACACAUGCAAGUCGAGCGGAAAGGCUCCUUUCGGGGGGUACUCGAGCGGCGAACGGGUGAGUAACACGUGAGUAACCUGCCCUGGACUUUGGGAUAACCCUCGGAAACGGGGGCUAAUACCGGAUAUGACACGCGGAUGCAUGUUUGUGUGUGGAAAGAUUUUUUGGUCUGGGAUGGGCUCGCGGCCUAUCAGCUUGUUGGUGGGGUGAUGGCCUACCAAGGCGACGACGGGUAGCCGGCCUGAGAGGACGACCAGCCACACUGGGACUGAGAUACGGCCCAGACUCCUACGGGAGGCAGCAGUGGGAAUCUUGCGCAAUGGGCGAAAGCCUGACGCAGCGACGCCGCGUGGGGGAUGAAGGCCCUCGGGUUGUAAACCCCUUUCGGCAGGGACGAAGCGAUUGUGACGGUACCUGCAGAAGAAGCCUCGGCUAACUACGUGCCAGCAGCCGC